rnacentral:lncRNA from 1 species
AACGAUUUAUCUUCAGAAGACAAGCAGAUGAGGAGACAAAACCUACUGAUGUGGGUACCCAAGCAGGAACCCCCCUCUUGCACCGGCGACUCACGUGGGAAGAAGAAUUCACUGAGCUGAAAUGGAGUGAGAGCUAAGAUGCUCUCAGAAUAUUCUUAAAAUGACUGUGCUGCAAAGAAGCCUGGGUGAAUAGAAGAAAAUAAAAGGAAUGGUGGAUACAAGUGAAGGUUAAAAUGAGACCCCAUUUAUCGCACCAGCUGUUGGUGAUUUCAGCGCUCCUUUCCAAGCCUCUUGAGAGUUCUGCUCUAACCACACUGCCCCCUAGUGUUCUCUCGCUUUGGUGCAACUGCAGGUUUCUCAUACUUCUGGAGAAAUAGAAAGCACCAGAUGACAGCCACCACACACUUUUGUCCCCAUUGCAAUAGGAUGCUUCUAACAAUCGUAAAAUUAUGAAACACUGAAUUCCUUAAAAGUUGUCCAUUUGUGGAUUUAUCUGAUGCACAGAACACUGGGCCCAGACUCUUGCGAGAACAUGUCUUUGAACUGUUUGCUGCUCACCUUUUAGUGAAAGCUCUUGACAGAAAUAUUAAAGAGAAAGUGUUUAAAGAAUGUGUGGUCAAUGCAUUCCUGACGGUGACUCUUCCGUGGAUUGAAAGCUCUGAAGUCCCAUGCUGGAAAAACACUUAGAGAGACCUACAGAGAUAAUGGUGUGUAUAACUUCAGAGGCCUGUGCUCUCUCUUGAAGUGCAUAUUGACGCCCUAGAGGGUUCUGCCCAUGAUGAAAAAUAGGCUUCAGUUUUUGCCAUCUCUAAUCAAUUGGUAGUGAAGACCAAGAGCACUGUUUUGAAAGGGAUCUGAGCCUAGUUUUGUCUAAGCAGAA